UCUGUUGCUUUGACAAAUAACUAUCAGCAAGCGGAUACAGGGACCAAAAUGAUACAUAAGGGAAAGAAUACUAGAAGUCGAAUUAUUUCGAAAGGCAUUUCAGCUGGGAAUUCCAGAAACUGUUAUAGGGGACUUGUUCAGAUUCAGUCAAAGGCAGACAAUGCUCGAAACUCUUCGCAGUGCGACUCAAUGCUUAUCGGUGACACUGCA
rnacentral:misc_RNA from 1 species